CUGCUGUAAUCUUUUGAUUAUGAAGACAAUGUUUUAAGAUGUAAAAUUCUCAUUUAUAUUUCUCAGGUAUCAUUGUAUUAUUAUCUUUUGUAUAACAUGGCUUCCCACUGAUUCCUUCUUCAGGCCAGGUAAAUGUGAUGUGCAGUUGACACCUGUAACCACUUUUCCCGGGUAUCAGCAUUUAGACUAAUUUUUACAUGUGCUACCUGACUUCAAGGCUUCUGUCCGUGGCAGUUCCCAAUUUUUAACUGGAAUUAGUGUUUUCAAAAGUUAUGUGAAAGAAAUUGGAUUUUGGGGAUGGCCAUGGAAAAGAAGCUUAAAGUCAGGUGUGGCAGAUGAAUUGACCAAAACUUUUGUUGAGGAUGGAAUAAAGAUGGAAGCGAUGUAGGCUGAGGAUUGAAAGGCUUUGAUAGUCAUUUCCAGGAAAAGUUGUGAAGAUUUUGUUAGCACCAAGAGAUGGAAGCAUUUACAGAAGCAGAGCAUCAUCCAAGUGGAUUGCCUGGGUUUGUUCAUUUCACCACUUAUCUUGCUACUAUAUGAAUCUAUGUCAGGUACUUAUUUCUUUCAAGCAGAUUAUACCAGCUUUUGUUCUGUUUAUGAUGAAAGUAACUGCCAAAAGAAACUUUAGAGGGAAAAGUAAUAUGUUUGGAGAACUUGCUAUUA